rnacentral:rRNA from 1 species
AUUGAACGCUGGCGGCAGGCCUAACACAUGCAAGUCGAACGGUAACAGGAAGCAGCUUGCUGCUUUGCUGACGCGUGGCGGACGGGUGAGUAAUGUCUGGGAAACUGCCUGAUGGAGGGGGAUAACUACUGGAAACGGUAGCUAAUACCGCAUAACGUCGCAAGACCAAAGAGGGGGACCUUAGGGCCUCUUGCCAUCGGAUGUGACCAGAUGGGAUUUGCUAGUAGGUGGGGUAACGGCUCACCCAGGCGACGAUCCCUAGCUGGUCUGAGAGGAUGAGCAGCCACACUGGAACUGAGACACGGUCCAGACUCCUACGGGAGGCAGCAGUGGGGAAUAUUGGACAAUGGGCGCAAGCCUGAUGCAGCCAUGCCGCGUGUAUGAAGAAGGCCUUCGGGUUGUAAAGUACUUUCAUCGGGGAGGAAGGGAGUAAGGUUAAUACCUUUGCGUAUUGACGGUACCCGCAGAAGAAGCACCGGCUAACUCCGUG